CGGGUGAGUAACGCGUGAGGAACCUGCCUCAAAGAGGGGGACAACAGUUGGAAACGGCUGCUAAUACCGCAUAAGCCCACGGCUCGGCAUCGAGCAGAGGGAAAAGGAGCAAUCCGCUUUGAGAUGGCCUCGCGUCCGAUUAGCUAGUUGGUGAGGUAAUGGCCCACCAAGGCAACGAUCGGUAGCCGGACUGAGAGGUUGAACGGCCACAUCGGGACUGAGACACGGCCCAG
rnacentral:rRNA from 1 species